CUUGAGCGUCCUCCUCAGAGUUCCUGCAAAAGAAGAAGAGUGAGAGAGAAGGACUGAGAGAAAGUUUGAGGGAGAAAACUGAUUUUCCGGAGUUUUCGUCGGAGAGUCGCCGACGGAAUCCAUUCCCUACCAAGACCUGUACUCUGGAGCCCUUCUUGGAGUGAAGUAAGAACUCGUGUGGAGAUUUCCUCCUCUUUCCUCAAGAUCAGAAAGAAAACCCGCAAGGGAAGAUCCGCCACUGAUCUUGGUGAGGAAAAUGGACGAAACGACGAGAUCUGAGAGACUAUCCAAGAACGGAGGAGAGAGAAGCCGCCGGCGUGCCAUGUGUCAACCA